GUCAUUCUGGCCGAGUGGUCUAAGGCGCUGCGUUCAGGUCGCAGUCCUCUCAGGAGGGCGCAGGUUCGAACCCUGCGAAUGACA
rnacentral:tRNA from 1 species